rnacentral:rRNA from 1 species
CUGGCGGCGUGCCUAACACAUGCAAGUCGAACGGAGAGUUUGAAACGAGAAUUUCGGUUCAAGUUUUUAAAUUCUUAGUGGCGGACGGGUGAGUAACGCGUGAGUAACCUGCCGUUCAGAGGGGGACAACAGUUGGAAACGACUGCUAAUACCGCAUAACGUACAGUUUUGGCAUCAUUACUGUACCAAAGGAGCAAUCCGCUGAAUGAUGGACUCGCGUCCGAUUAGAUAGUUGGUGAGGUAACGGCUCACCAAGUCGACGAUCGGUAGCCGGACUGAGAGGUUGAACGGCCACAUUGGGACUGAGACACGGCCCAGACUCCUACGGGAGGCAGCAGUGGGGGAUAUUGCACAAUGGAGGAAACUCUGAUGCAGCAACGCCGCGUGAGGGAAGAAGGUCUUCGGAUUGUAAACCUUUGUUUUUAGUGACGAAUAAAUGACGGUAGCUAAAGAGGAAGCCACGGCUAACUACGUG